CCUACGGGUUGCUGCAGUGGGGAAUAUUGGACAAUGGGCGAAAGCCUGAUCCAGCCAUGCCGCGUGUGUGAAGAAGGCCUUCGGGUUGUAAAGCACUUUCAGUGGGGAAGAAAGCCUUGGGGCUAAUACCCUCGAGGAAGGACAUCACCCACAGAAGAAGCACCGGCUAACUCCGUGCCAGCAGCCGCGGUAAUACGGAGGGUGCGAGCGUUAAUCGGAAUUACUGGGCGUAAAGCGCGCGUAGGCGGUCUGAUAAGCCGGUUGUGAAAGCCCCGGGCUCAACCUGGGAACGGCAUCCGGAACUGUCAGGCUAGAGUGCAGGAGAGGAAGGUAGAAUUCCCGGUGUAGCGGUGAAAUGCGUAGAGAUCGGGAGGAAUACCAGUGGCGAAGGCGGCCUUCUGGACUGACACUGACGCUGAGGUGCGAAAGCGUGGGUAGCAAACAGGAUUAGAUACCCGUGUAGUC
rnacentral:rRNA from 1 species